UACGUAGGGGGCUAGCGUUGUCCGGAAUCAUUGGGCGUAAAGAGCGUGUAGGCGGCUCGGUAAGUCCGCUGUGAAAGUCCAGGGCUCAACCCUGGAAUGCCAGUGGAAACUGUCGAGCUAGAGUCCGGAAGAGGCGAGUGGAAUUCCCGGUGUAGCAGUGAAAUGCGUAGAGAUCGGGAGGAACAUCAGUUGCGAAGGCGGCUCUCUGGACCAGCACUGACACUGAGGCGCGACAGCGUGGGGAGCAAACAGG
rnacentral:rRNA from 1 species